UGGACCAAUGAUGAGUAUCCUGGGGUGUCUGAAUCAAUGAUUUUGAUUAAACCCUUUAUCUGAGGUCAGA
ensembl:snoRNA small nucleolar RNA, C/D box 113-3